rfam:Gossypium arboreum cultivar AKA8401 contig_7288_9, whole genome shotgun sequence.
UAUUAAAAAUUUUAUAUAUUUUUACUGUUAAAAACUAACGUGACUAAAAAAAUAAUAAAAUAAUUACACAUAACAUGUCACAUGUGUCUCAUGCUAUCAUACAUGGAUUAGCUUUUAAUAGUAAAAUGAACAAAAUUUUUAACA